rnacentral:misc_RNA from 1 species
AUAUAUAUAUCAAACUUCUCUUUGUUGAGUGGUUUGGAUGUGGGGGUUUGCUGGCUUUGUUCAGCUCUCCUAAAAUGCAUUAGCAGAACAAACCUUGUUCAUUGGUGUGAUAACUAUCUACGCUAUUGAAUGUGAGGGGCAGUUCAGCUUUCUAACAGUCCUUGGACAAUUCAUCAUUA